rnacentral:lncRNA from 1 species
CACACACAAACACACACAGAUUCCUUUACUGAAAGGUGCAGUAAAACAACAAUAGUAAGUCAUAGUCCAAAACGUCAGAUACAAGUUGUGUUCACCGUUUAGUCUACAAUUAAUUCUGACCAUUGCACUUUAUGAUGCAACACAAAAUGUGAAAGAAAAUUGAGUCAACCAUUUAACUUCAUUUAUUCUGAUUGAUAUGAACAACUAGAGUUGGUUUAUUUUCACAUUCAUAAACGACGUGUUUACAAAAAAAAAAAAAACUAACACGAAAUUCAGUAAUUUACAUAACAAUUUCCACUCUACAUAAGCUCAAAGAAGAAAUGUGCUGAAAGUAUUAAACUGCUAUCAAUGAGAGACAAAGUAAGACUGUACAUGGGAUUUUAGUUGAAUCUUCAAUGUGAUUCAUAGGGCACCAAGACUUUUAAAUACUAAGAAAAGGAUUACCAAAUUAAUUUGCUCAGACUAUCAAUUUGUUCCAAUUGCAAGAAAAAGAGAACUUUCAAAAUGAAUUCCCUGAGUUUGAGGUUUAUAUUGAGGUUUCUCUAUGCCAACUGUUUUACAUUCAUUGCCUGUUUUCAAGAGGACAAAAUGACCACUCAUAAUGUCGACCAUUUCACACAAGCAAAGCUGUGGA